GCUGUUGUAGUUUAGUGGCAAAACUUCUCGUUGUGGCCGAGAGGCCCCUGGUUCGAUUCCAGGUAACAGCA